rnacentral:rRNA from 1 species
CCAAGGCGACGACGGGUAGCCGGCCUGAGAGGGCGACCGGCCACACUGGGACUGAGACACGGCCCAGACUCCUACGGGAGGCAGCAGUGGGGAAUAUUGCACAAUGGGCGAAAGCCUGAUGCAGCGACGCCGCGUGAGGGAUGACGGCCUUCGGGUUGUAAACCUCUUUCAGCAGGGACGAAGCGCAAGUGACGGUACCUGCAAAAGAAGCACCGGCUAACUACGUGCCAGCAGCCGCGGCCGA